rnacentral:sRNA from 1 species
AUAGAUUUUUGUGCCCAUUUUAUGUACUGCCAAGAGAUGAUCGUUCUUCGAUACGUCAGAGUCUAUCAAUGGAAAAGAUGUCGAUACAAACUCAAUUUCAACGCACCUCUGGCAGCGAUACUGUUUCCUCGAGCUACAGCCUCGUUCCAAAUGACUUAAGCCAAAAACAGAUGUACAAGCCAAUCGGCUCGUCCUGGCUCAUGAGGAUAACUUGCCUCCGCAAUAGUGGCAAGUGGUUCGGAUCGUUCCUGUGAUCGCUGGCCACAAUAAUCAAAUCCGAGUGGUAGAUUUCAAAACAGCGAAAGGAAUUUUUCUUAACGUAAUCCACAAGGUUGUCCCUAAAUCAGGUAUUCGUACCGCCAUUGUCCUCGAGUCAAAUUGCCCAAGACGCUGGUAUGCCGUGAGUCGGUAAAGUUUCUACCACCGUUCUCCGCCACUUGCUUACUAAGACGUCAUCGGAUUGGGACAAUCCACUCGAUGCGGGGACUGGGGAGCAGCCGAAAACAUAUGCCGAGCGAGCGACAAAAGUUCGAAAAUUAAAAGUUUCCGCUGCGGCUCUGCCAGAAAGUAUGGAAAAGUCGCAGACCCAGAUGGAGACCCGGAGGAGAAGCGGGAUAUGGAUAUGGAUACGGAUACAGAGAAGCGACUGCGGCAAACGAACUGCAAAUGUGCAGGCGUAUUCGUGUGUGGAAAACCGUAAUUAUGACGCUUGUUAGCAGCUACCCCUUGAAUAUGGGAAACAUUGGGCUGGAUGAUAUUCAUAUGCAGCAAAAAGGAGUGCCAGGCGGAUAAUCACUAGUUAUAAAUAACAGAUCGAAAGGUCUAGAUUACCUGGAGAAGCUUGAUGCCGAUAAAGAAUACAAUAUAUACUUGAUGUUCUUGAAAAUGCAAAAUCAUAAUGCCCUCUGGAAGCGUAUAAAAAGAGAAAGCAGCACAAGCCAGCCAAUUUCAGACCAAGUCCUGGAAAUGGACCAACUCCAAGUGCUGUAGGUCCUGCUGCUGCUGGUGCUCCUGCUGCUGCUGGUGCUGCUUUCGUUCUCUCUCCCGAUGAUGUGUCUUAUCUUGUCCUGCAGUGGCUGAGCGAUGCCAGCGCAUCCUGGAAGCUUUUUAUCUUGGCGUCAUGUUGAUGUUUGUCGGAAACUUGAUUAUUUUCAUCGUUUUUUUCAGAGCCAGCGAAUGGGUCUCCAUAUGGCUGAAGAUGUUUGGAUGCUGGCGGCGGUUGAGAGCAAAGAAGCAGUCUGGGAUUAGCCCUCCCACAGAAACCCACAAAAUGGCAGGGAAAAACACGACAGCCAAACAAAAAAAAAAAAACGGAAAAAAAACUUGCACGAUAUUCUGUGGAUAGAAGUUGAAAAUAAGGAGUUUCGCAGCAAUGUAAAUGCAACUUUAACUUCUCAUACCCGCAACAAGAGUUCGGGGUUACAGGUUGCUCUGGUUUGACUGUUUCCUGUUGUUUUUGACAAACAAGGAGAGCACACUCGUUCCUCGUAAGUAAAAUAGGUUGUAAUAAGAGCAGUUAACAACAUGAGUGAGGCCAAGGCGAGCGGAACAGGACGAGGCCAAGACACCUGAACGUCACGGCACAAACGUGUGUACAGUGGAGAUGCCUUCUAAUGGACAGAAGGAGUUGCGUACACCAAGAAAGUAGUAAAUCUUAAGAACGAAAUGGAAAGUUUAAUGGAACGAAAAACUCCCAUGUUGAAAAGUUUAUUUCAACAAUGUAUUUGAGAGGAUUAAAAAGGUGUGCAUGCAUCAUAAGGGAAAGCAUAGAAAAGAGCCCACACUCACUGUACCUAUGCCAAAACCGCUACAGGGGUUCUGCCCUGUGCCACAGAGCAUGGAAAGCAGCGGCAGGGACCGAGGGAGCGCUCCUGACAACUGACAACUCCUUUAAAAUGUAGUUACUGUUGUUAUUAUUCAACCUUAAUGAACUUAACAAGCUCGCACAACGACGACGACGACGACGGCUACGAGGACGAAGACGACAUGCUGCCAGGCCGGCAGCAGUCGGACACAGGAAUCCCGCCCCCACCUAUAGACCACCAAGCCCACCUCCACACAAGCAGCCAGUCAGACAGACAGACAGACAGACGAGCAAGUCAAACAUAGAGGGAAAGGCAGAGACAGGGAGAGAGUGGAAGAAUGGAAGAGGACGCUCUCAAUGGCGCAGGGUCACGUAACUCAAAUAAAGCGCCAAAGCCACCAGCCGCAAAAAAAAAUCACAAAAGAACCAAAGGAAAACAACAAAAUGAAGCGAAGACAGGGCAGGACAGUGCACGCCGCCAAGGGAUUGAGCGGCACAGGCCACCUUUACGCCCUGUCCCAUGCACAUUGUGCAUUUUGGCCCUCGCCAAAGCCGAGGCAAAUUAAAAAUGUUUCACAAAUAUUGGGAGAACGAGGCCGGAACACAGAGAGCGGAACGCUGCGGACGGGCUCGCAAGGCAAGAGCUUAAACGGAUAUGAUUAUUGUAUUUCGUAUCGAUUGCAUCAAAUAUUGAGGGGCAGCAUACUUCAGAAUAUUUUUUUCAAACAUAUGAACUUGGGAUUUGAUAGAUUGAUGGCCAGCUUGCCAGCUUAAUGUUCCGAAGGCUCUGCCAUUCUUCACUUAUUCUUGAACUACGGGACACUUUAACACUUUCUUUUAUAUCCGAAAAGACAUUAAUAGAAAUGAAAUAGGCCCCUCCCCUGAUUACUUACAAUUAGCUGAAUUUAAUUGCCUAUAGAGCGAUAUAAGGUAUUUUUAUCAUGAAAUCUCAAAAUACGGUCUACACGUGGCUGAUUCGAAUACUUGUAAAUAUUAUUCUUCUCCGAAUACACCGAUUGGAUUAGACGCCGCGCUGCAACGAGGUUGGGUGUGCAAUACGGUCAGGUCGAAGGUUGAACUAGACAUCCCGCAGAGCCCACGCAUGUGACCUCCACUUCACAACCACCAUCGAAGAUAUCCCGGCCAUCAAUUUGCCAAAAGUGCUCAAAGCCAACGCUUCGGGAGUUCUUUAAAGUGAGAUCUAUGCCCCUCUCAGGGAUCUUCUUGCCACCAAGUGCAAUGCGGGUCGCCUCAGACGCUGUACGCCUGCGUUGUAGCAUCCUAAAAUUUAAGUGAAACUUUUGUAAUAUUUCUUGAAGAACUGACGGGGUUGUUACUUUACCCGUUAUCUCCUAAACUCCGGACACUGCACACUGGAUACAUACACUAUAUACGGAUAGAAUCGAUGCAGACUCGGAAAUGUACUUGGGCCAUUCUUUUACGCUGAUUUAGAUUUGGGAUGUGGAGUAGGACUACUGGGGAUACCACAAUAAAAAAAAACGCGCUUAGAACUCUACCUGUAUGGUGGUGU